AUGGACCCUGCUGACACGCUGGCUGUGCGGGCAUUAAAGGAGAAGAGACCAAGAACUGUGGGAGAGUGCAGGGCAGUAAUGGGUCUCCUCAGUUAUUACCGCCAGUACAUCAGAGACUUCUCCCGUAUUGCUGGACCCCUGUAUGCCCUGCUUGAAGCAGAACCAGGAGCAGCGACACAGAAGAGCAGCAACACAAGGAUGACGAGAGGAAAAGUGAAGAAUAGAGGGGUACCUUCUAAUAAGCCGAUCACCUGGACUGAUGUGCACCAACAGGUAUUGGAGAGAUUAAUUGAAUGUCUGGUUAACCCUCCCAUCCUCGGGUUCCCUGACUUCAAUAAGUCAUUCAUCUUGCAUACAGAUGCCUCAAACCAAGGCCUAGGUGCAGUGUUGUAUCAAGAACAAGAGGAAAAGCUACGUGUCAUAGCGUAUGCAUCAAGAACACUGACCAAGGCGGAAAAGAAUUACCACCUCCACUCUGGGAAACUAGAGUUCCUAGCCUUGAAGUGGGCUGUGACCGAGCGCUUCAGAGAUUAUUUGAUGACUUGUUCUUGCACUGUGUACACGGACAACAAUCCACUUACCUACGUGUUGUCCACAGCCAAGCUGAACGCUACAGGGAGUAGGUGGGUUGCUGAACUAGCAGACUUUCAUCUCAUCAUCAAGUAUCGUCCAGGCAGAGAGAACGGUGAUGCUGAUGGGCUGUCCAGAAUGCCCUGUGACAUCGAAGAGAUGAUGGGGAACUGUACAGAGGAAAUGUCCUCCCACUCAGUACAAGCCACAGUGCAAGCUAUAGAAACAAGAGACUCUCAAACAGCAUGUUGGAUCAUGGCCCCAGGGUGUGUAGGGACAGAAGAGGAGCUACCCACACCCUUCUCAAGAGCAGAGAUCUGUCAGGCACAGAGGGAUGACCCGAACAUUGGCCCCGUAAUAGACUACAAACAGUCAGAUCAAAGACCUGUGGGACAGCAAUUAAAGUCAUCCAGUGCACAGAGCAAGCGUCUACUCAGAGAGUGGAACAAACUCAGUUUGGAUGACGAUGGCAUACUACACCGAAAGACUGUCACAAGAACACAACUUGUCUUACCAGACAAGUAUAAGGCAACAGUCCUGAGACAACUCCAUGACGACAUGGGACAUCAGGGUGUGGACCGUACCACAUCACUUGUGCGAGACCGUUUCUUCUGGCCACACAUGCAGCGAGAGGUGGAGACCUACCUGUCCCGAUGCUGUGCCUGCCUCAAACAGAAAAAGCCCUGUAGAGAAACAAGAGCCCCUCUCAUCCCCAUUGUCACAACACAGCCAUUUGAAUUAGUAUCCAUUGACUUUAUGCAUUUGGACAAAUGUAAAGGUGGCUAUGAAUACAUCCUGGUCAUAGUCGACCAUUACACCCGCUUUGCCCAGGCCUACGCCACAACAAUGGAAUCUGCUAAGUGUGUUGCUGACAAAAUAUUCAAUGAUUACGCCCUUAAGUGGGGUUUUCCCCAGCGAAUCCACCAUGACAUGGGAGGUGAAUGGGAAAACCAGUUGAUUUCACAGCUACAGAAGAACAGUGGAAUGAUGGGCUCGAGAACUUGGGGUUAA
ensembl:lncRNA